rnacentral:rRNA from 1 species
GAUGAACGCUGGCGGCGUGCCUAAUACAUGCAAGUCGAGCGAACGGACGAGAAGCUUGCUUCUCUGAUGUUAGCGGCGGACGGGUGAGUAACACGUGGAUAACCUACCUAUAAGACUGGGAUAACUUCGGGAAACCGGAGCUAAUACCGGAUAAUAUUUCGAACCGCAUGGUUCAAAAGUGAAAGACGGUCUUGCUGUCACUUAUAGAUGGAUCCGCGCUGCAUUAGCUAGUUGGUAAGGUAACGGCUUACCAAGGCAACGAUGCAUAGCCGACCUGAGAGGGUGAUCGGCCACACUGGAACUGAGACACGGUCCAGACUCCUACGGGAGGCAGCAGUAGGGAAUCUUCCGCAAUGGGCGAAAGCCUGACGGAGCAACGCCGCGUGAGUGAUGAAGGUCUUCGGAUCGUAAAACUCUGUUAUUAGGGAAGAACAUAUGUGUAAGUAACUGUGCACAUCUUGACGGUACCUAAUCAGAAAGCCACGGCUAACUACGUGCCAGCAGCCGCGGUAAUACGUAGGUGGCAAGCGUUAUCCGGAAUUAUUGGGCGUAAAGCGCGCGUAGGCGGUUUUUUAAGUCUGAUGUGAAAGCCCACGGCUCAACCGUGGAGGGUCAUUGGAAACUGGAAAACUUGAGUGCAGAAGAGGAAAGUGGAAUUCCAUGUGUAGCGGUGAAAUGCGCAGAGAUAUGGAGGAACACCAGUGGCGAAGGCGACUUUCUGGUCUGUAACUGACGCUGAUGUGCGAAAGCGUGGGGAUCAAACAGGAUUAGAUACCCUGGUAGUCCACGCCGUAAACGAUGAGUGCUAAGUGUUAGGGGGUUUCCGCCCCUUAGUGCUGCAGCUAACGCAUUAAGCACUCCGCCUGGGGAGUACGACCGCAAGGUUGAAACUCAAAGGAAUUGACGGGGACCCGCACAAGCGGUGGAGCAUGUGGUUUAAUUCGAAGCAACGCGAAGAACCUUACCAAAUCUUGACAUCCUUUGACAACUCUAGAGAUAGAGCCUUCCCCUUCGGGGGACAAAGUGACAGGUGGUGCAUGGUUGUCGUCAGCUCGUGUCGUGAGAUGUUGGGUUAAGUCCCGCAACGAGCGCAGCCCUUAAGCUUAGUUGCCAUCAUUAAGUUGGGCACUCUAAGUUGACUGCCGGUGACAAACCGGAGGAAGGUGGGGAUGACGUCAAAUCAUCAUGCCCCUUAUGAUUUGGGCUACACACGUGCUACAAUGGACAAUACAAAGGGCAGCGAAACCGCGAGGUCAAGCAAAUCCCAUAAAGUUGUUCUCAGUUCGGAUUGUAGUCUGCAACUCGACUACAUGAAGCUGGAAUCGCUAGUAAUCGUAGAUCAGCAUGCUGCGGUGAAUACGUUCCCGGGUCU